GAUGAACGCUGGCGGCGUGCCUAAUACAUGCAAGUCGAGCGAUCGGGCUAGAAGCUUGCUUCUCUUAUAUUAGCGGCGGACGGGUGAGUAACGCGUGGGUAACCUGCCUUUGAGCCUGGGAUAACUUCUGGAAACCGUAGCUAAUACCGCAUAAUAUUUUGAAACACAUGGUUCAAGAGUGAAAGACGGUCUUGCUUUCACUUAUAGAUAGAUCCGCGCUGCAUAAGCUAGUGGUUAAGGUAACGCCUUACCAAGCCAAGGAUGCAUACCCACCUGGAGAGGGUGUUCGCCCCAACGGGAACGGAGAACCGGCCAAGAUCCCUAGGGGAGCCAGCAGUAGGAAUCUUUGCGAAAGGGGCGAAGUCUUGACGGACAAAGCCCGCGUGGGGAAUGAGGUUCUUGGGUCGUAAAACCCUGUUUAUUAGGGAAGACCAUAUGUGUAAUUAACUGCGCACCUAGUGACGGUACCUAAUCAGAAAGCCACGGCUAACUACGUG
rnacentral:rRNA from 1 species